GGCAACCUGGAAUCAGGUGUGCAAAGAACUGAAGGAGACCCAUUCAAGAAUCAACUCUCCCAGGGGCUGCAUGGGGCAGCGGGGAGCGGGGAAUGUGAGGCUCAGCACAGCCUGAGGCCCAAGGACAGAUGCCUAGCAUUCCUCCCACUGCCCAAAGACGCCCUCUGUCCCCAACCCAGGCUACUCCAGCUCCCUCUCACAUCAGGCAAGUGACGAGCUGCAGACUCUGGCCACCCAACACCCAGCCACGGAGCCCAGGGCUCUCCUCCUCCCCUACUCCGCCUCCUCGCUGCCACACGGUUAUUGACAAGAAUAAGCGCUCCUCGCAUAUGUCAAACUGGACGAGCCUCAUUUCAAGAGCUCGCAGCCACACAUGGUUACCAUACAGAAGAGCACAAGACUGGGCUCCACUAGGGUCUUACCAGCGUUCUGGUUUGCUGGUAAAGUAGGAGAAAAAUUAAGCUCUGCUACAGCAGAAGGCAGGGCUUUCCAGAUGGCUCAGUGAUAAAGAAUCUGCCUGCCAAAGCAGGAGACAUGGGUUCAAUCCCUGGGUCAGAAAUAUUCCCUGAAGAAGGAAAUGCAACCCACUCCAGAAUUCUUGCCUGAAAAAUCCCAUGGACGGAGGACCCUGGUGGGCUAUAGUCCAUGGGGUCUCAAAAGAAUCGGACACAACAUAAUAACCAACCAACCACAGUGGAAGACAACACAGCCCUUACACUUCUGCUCGUUAGACAGCCGGGUCGAAACCUGACUCUGCCACUCACUACUUGCCCAACCUGGGGUGCCAAGUCCAGAGGCCUCGCACUUGGCCCUUCGGCCUGGAGUUCCCGUUUAUAACAGGACUGUGCCAACAUCUCAGCUCCAGGGCUGUGUGCAGAAAAGCUGCCCGGGACAUUCAGUUCAAGAUGGCAGUGGAGAGCCGUGUGCAGAGGCAAUGCUCUCGGCUCCGCAAUCUAGAGCCCGAGCAGCACAGCUGCGCCUGAUACCACACUCCCUCCACCCACUCUGUGCUGGCGAGAUCCCUAUAAAGCAGCCCCCACUACAGUCUCUCUGGGAGAGCGUGAGCUUUAGAGGCCACACUCACACCUCUUCAUUCUUUGAUCAAAGACUAAAACCUUGAGCAGAAGAACUCAGUCUUGUUCUGUUGGCUUGAGCAACACUGAGCAGAAGGACCUUUGUUAGGGACCCACUUGGAGUUGGUUUUAGAAAGCUGAGCAUUCAGCAGGUUCCAGAUGCAAGGCAGAUGCUGGAACCCUGGCUGCUGUCAUUAUGGCUUUGGAGCAGGGGAGUGCCACAUUUGGAACGAGGCGCAAGCAUUAGAUCUGUCCAGAGACUAAACAGAGGCCCAGAGGGAAAAAAUGAAAGAGGUGGAAGGUAAGGGUGGGGGAAAGGGAAGAGAGGGAAAAGAAACUGAUUAAAAAGAAAACACUGAGAGGAUGGGGAUGACAAAAGAUCCUUUUC
ensembl:lncRNA